rnacentral:rRNA from 1 species
UGGGGAAUAUUGGACAAUGGGGGCAACCCUGAUCCAGCAAUGCCGCGUGUGUGAAGAAGGUCUUCGGAUUGUAAAGCACUUUCGACGGGGACGAUGAUGACGGUACCCGUAGAAGAAGCCCCGGCUAACUUCGUGCCAGCAGCCGCGGUAAUACGAAGGGGGCUAGCGUUGCUCGGAAUGACUGGGCGUAAAGGGCGUGUAGGCGGUUUACACAGUCAGAUGUGAAAUCCCCGGGCUUAACCUGGGAGCUGCAUUUGAUACGUGUAGACUAGAGUGUGAGAGAGGGUUUGUGGAAUUCCCAGUGUAGAGGUGAAAUUCGUAGAUA